AGCUCCAAUAGCGUAUAUUAAAGUUGUUGUGGUUAAAAAGCUCGUAGUUGGAUCUCGCCGGUCUGAGGGCGGUUCGCUCGAUCGAGUGCUACUGCUCUAUAGGCCGUGGUUUUGCCAGAGGUUUCGGGGUGCUCUUAACCGAGUGUCCUGCGAUGCUGGCAGGUUUACUUUGAAAAAAUUAGAGUGCUCAAAGCAGGCUUUUACGCCUGAAUAUUCGUGCAUGGAAUAAUAGAAUAGGAAGUCGUUUCUAUUUUGUUGGUUUUCGAAAAUCGACUUUAUGAUUAACAGGGACAGUCGGGGGCAUUUGUAUUCAAACGACAGAGGUGAAAUUCUUGGACUGUUUGAAGACAAGCUACUGCGAAAGCAUUUGCCAAGAAUGUUUUCA
rnacentral:rRNA from 1 species